AGGGUCUCACCUUCAUCCCUAAAGCAUAUCUAGAUGGGGAAACUGAGCGUGCUCCUGCAGAGAGCAAACUAAGGAACUAGCAACCAACUCUUGAGCAUGUGCUCAGGUGAGGUCCUGGUGUGCUGGGGCCCGCGGGGUGAGGAGGACCCUCAGAUCUCCUACCUGUGAAGGGCACACAGUCGAGCAGAGAAAACCGGCCCUGAAACGGGGAUGGUCCUUGUGGGUGGGUCCAGAACAGCAGCACGGACUGGGCAUAGUGAGAGGAGCCUCGUCUGGCUAGAGAAUCCCAGAGGCAUCAGGAAAAGGUCACUGACGUGGGCUGGGCCCGCCUGUCCCCCGCUAGACACCAUACCCUGAGGAGAAGCAAGGGAGGACCUCUGUAGUCACAGGGCAGAUCUGUGGGGCAGCGACCGCCCUGGAUAACGCAGGCCAUAGAAGGAGGCCUUCGUGUCCUUUGUGUUCAUGUUUGAAGCAUUCUUGAAGCCUUCACACUCCAGAUCACUGCUGUCUAUGUAACCCAGAAGAGCUUCCCCGGAGGCCCUCAACCACUUACACUUCUCUUGUCCGCCAAGGCCCAGCUCUCAGGCCACCUCUUCUGUGAGAUCUUUCCACAAUGAACCCCCGGACCCCCCAACUCUAGGGCUGCACAUGGCAGUUGACUUCAGUCCGUCUGUGCAUUCCAUCCUCAACAGCUUCGUCUCUGCACCCGCAGCAGCUUGCUCAGAGCUCUCAGGAUGUGAUGGCAGCAGCCUCACACUCCGAGGGUGAGCACACACUCAGGGGACCCAGGGGCACCAUCCUGACCCACUUCCUGCAGGGCUCGGCCUGUUGUCAUGGCGGGGAACCACCAGCUAAUUUGGGAAAAACCAGCUGUUGAAUGCAGCCGGCUCCCCAGCCACCCGCAGCACACACUGUGUCCUCCAAUGCUCCUCCAAGCACGUGUCAGCCUUCAGCACCCAGCAGGGACCCUCUGCCAGCCUGGCUGCUGCCCCCACACCCAUUCCGGCCAGGCAGAGGAGAAGGAAGCACAUUUGCUCUGAACAGAGGCAGUCCCCCCACCAGCCCCAGCCGGACAGGUGGCCCCCACGCCUCCCUUCCAGGCCAGGGUCUGGCAGCAGGCAAGCCAGCGGGAACCUCCUCUGAAGAGCCGCCGGGGCCUGGACUUCCCUGGGCUUCCUGCUCACCGGAAUGCCUCCCUGAUCAUGGGCCCGUCGGCGCCCAUCCCUUUGGCCGCCCUCUCUCUCACACACACACACACACACCCAGGGCCCAGCUCCGUCCUGGCUCCUGUAGGCCUCACUGAAUCCUGCGUCCCCAGCAAGUCUCCACUCAGGUGGGACCUCUCGCCGCCCAGCCUCACUCUGUUCCUUAAGGACAGCCAGGCAGAGGACCCUGUGGUGUAGAUUCGCCCACACCCUCACGCUGCAUGCCUUGGCCCGCACCCACCGCUCCCGACAGGAAACGCUGAGCUGCCCCUACUCUGACCUCCCAAAGCUGAAGACCUGCCGUCGAUCCCCAGCUCUCCCACGGAACAGGCAAAGGACUUAAUCAAAUCUUUUGAGCUUUCCAGGGACAUACCACCUCCAUAAAACAGGAAAAACAAUCCUAACUAACUCAACGGAAUGAGAGACGGUGUAAACGCCUGAUAAACUGACUGCGCUGUUCAUUUUAUUGGCCUCUGCUGCGGUUGGUUUGUAGCUUCACUCUCUGUUUAUCGCUUGAAAUUCAUUCUCUCUCUGGUUCGGACGGUGUCCUCUCUGAAGACCAGCUGCUUUGCAGGUUUUCGCUUUGUCCUCUUUGCUGCCUGUCCCUGCAUUCAGUGGGUGCCUGAGGAAGCCUUCCUGCUGCACACUAGCUGGCCGCUAGGUGGCAGUGUGGGUUCUGAACCGAGGCGCAGGCGUGGGCACAGGUUACUCUGCAGGUAGGCCUCCUGCCCCAUCCAACUCCCAGCUGCCUCUUCAUCCACGAUACUGGCAACAGACACCCGUGGAAAGCUUCCUGCUACUAAAUACAGGCUGAAGCCUUGGAGGCAGGUGAUUUGGCUUUGACCCGAGGUCCACCCCUUUUAUCAGCUGGGGCUUCCUUCACAGAACAAAGGCAGGAGGCAGGCUGGGUGGGGUGCCGGGGUCUGAGCAGCACAGAGAGGCCCCUCGUGGUGGCUGCUGUGACUAAAAGGCCUGGAUUUCCCUGGAGGCCCAGAGGACGCUCUGGAAUCCCAGUGGGCCGGGAGACCCAGGCUUUCCAUGCUCUCAGCCCCUUCUCUGCCGACUUCUUCCUCUCAACACACAGCGUGACCAAUCCCUUCCCAGUUAAAAGGGGUGGUUCCCGUCGGGGAUUUAGCUCAGCGCCUGCCUGGCAAGUGCAAGGUCCUAAGUUCCACUCCUGGUAUGGGGCGGGGAGGAGUAAUGUUUCCCUGACUCGUGUUUCCCUUCACCACCCCUGUUUAGCCUUACCUUCUUAGCCAAACUUAUGGAAAUGUCUUCACUCUGUCUCCCCCAGCACCUCCUGCUCACACCUCAGCCUCUCCCUUACCUUCUCUCUCUGGCACCAGCCACUCUGUAUUCCCACCUUCCCAUCUCCAUGUCCUCACUGCACACUUUGAUGCAGGCUACCAGGCUGGUCUCGAACUCCCUAUGUAGCCCAGGCUGGCCUCAUUCACCGUCCUCCUGCCUCAGCCUGCCGAAUCCUAGGGUUACAGGGGUGUGCCACCAGAGUCAAAUUUUUAGCUAGGAUUUCCACACAGGAGCGUUCCAGAUCUCUGCACUGGCCCGCACACCCUCAGCCCCAGUAUCUUAUCUCCUGCUGACUCAACACACCCAAGACUGAGCUCAUCGCUCUGCCCUCAGCCCUGAUUCAACCUGUUCUUCCUCCCCUGUCUCCUGUCUCAGCAGAGUCUCGCAGGGAAGCAGUGGUGGCCAAAGUCAAAGCCGUGGAUGUGAGCGGUGCGGACUUCUCCCAGCCCCACACCACCUCCGUCCGCUCCUGACAGCACUUCUCCAACCACCCCCCUGUUCUGCCAAGCCCCAAGCCAGGCCUCGUCACCUCUUCCCUAAACACCCGCAACUGCCUGCGAACUUCUCCUGUUCGCCCUCCUGCCCUUGCCCACUGCCCUGUCCUCUUUGGAGGCAGCAUUCUUCAUAAAUGCAAAGCUGAACAAGUCUUCUAUUUGCCCAAGACUCCACAGUGCCCUGAGGCUGUUGCCUGAAACUUCUUGACCGCGCUCCACCCUCUGUCCCUCCAUAAACUUUGGCAACCUCCAGCCCCUCAAACUCUCUCCUUUCCUCUUGCUUUCUUCUCUCCUUUCUUUUUCUUUCUUUUCCUUUCUGCUCCUCCUCUUCCUCCUCCUCUUCCCUCCUGAUGGUAGAGGAAUUGUCAACUCCCUAUUUAUUCUCAGCUCUCCUGGAUGCUCCUUCUCUGGGCUUCCUGGUCCAGAGUGCUCAAGGCUGUAGCUGUGUGACUGACCACCCAUCACUAACUGGACUCAGCCUGAGGGCAAGAACUGUGUGCUUCUGCAUCCCCUGCACCAGAUUCACUGCCUAGCACCAAGAAGAGGUUACACAGACGUUUGUUUAUUGGAUAGGUAAAUGGAUGAGUGAUUAGAAAACUGAAACGUUAUUGUUCAUAACAAGUUCCUUGCUUCUUCAGAAGUCAUCUGGUGUUUUGCUCAUUACCUUAACUGGAAGCCGGACCCUAAACCUCAGAACAACUCAAAGCAACACUGCUGGAAGCUCCGCCAGAGCCAGGGGCUGAGACAGCUUCUCCUGGGUCAUUGCCACAAAGUCCAGGUGCCAUUGCCAUGAAGUCCAGGUGCCAUUCCUGCCCCACCCCUCAGAGGGGUGCGUUCUGCAGGGAGUCAGCUUUGCUCCUACUUGUACCCAGAGAGACUGCUCUUGCCAGACCAGGCGGCAGGAACAGUAUGACAACCGGUACCGUAACCAAAGAACAGAGCCAAGCUCUCUGAACUGUGUCCCCAGAAGAAGGAAGCUCUGAGCCCACGGUGUGCCAGUCCCAGAAAAUCCAGGACAGAAGCACAGAAGCGACAGCCUCUACUGCCCGUGUAAAUGAGAUGCAAACACAUCCAUAAAGACAAAGGCUCUGUCCCCACUGUGGUAAUAACAAAGCAUCGAUCGUAACAGCAACAGAGCUGCAUUGCAUUUCUCAGCGUACAUCACAGGCUCGGGCUUUGUUUGUGCUCUGCUCCAAUUGCUUUCCCCACCUUACUCUCCAAGACCCCUUGAAAAUGCUCACCCUGCUGCCUACCUCUAGUUUAAUGAACAACUCACUUUCUGCAAAAUUCUGUAAUACACUGUUCAUCUUUCUUUGACAACACUGAUCUUCAAUUGUGUUUCACCGGACUGUGCUUGUCCUCGUCUUUGAUCAGGUUAUAGGCGCUCAGCAGGGAGGAGCUGCCUUAUCCAUGUCUACAGUGUGCAGUCCUAGGUGCUAAGCACUCGAUAAACGCCCGC
rnacentral:lncRNA from 1 species